rnacentral:misc_RNA from 1 species
AACUUUUGGCAAUGGAUCUCUUGGCUCUCGCAUCGAUGAAGAACGCAGUGAAAUGCGAUAAGUAAUGUGAAUUGCAGAAUCUCGUGAAUCAUCGAAUCUUUGAACGCACAUUGCGCCCUAUGGUAUUCCGUAGGGCAUGCCUGUCUGAGCGUCAGCUCCCACCCACUCAAGUAUCUUUUAUUUGGGAUUCUUGGAAUGAUUUGGAGAGGUGUCUUGUCAUAGAGACGUCCUCCAGAAAUUCAUAGGCAGUAUGGUUUGCACCUGAACCAGACGUAAUAAUAAUAAGAUCGUUUGAUUGGGAAAAAUUGUACUUGCCUUAACCCACCCAUUUCUCUCAUUUGGGUGACCUCAGAUCAGGUAGGGAUACCCGCUGAACUUAAGCAUAUCAAUAAGCGGAGGCU